AGAGUUUGAUCCUGGCUCAGGACGAACGCUGGCGGCGCGCUUAACACAUGCAAGUCGAGCGAGAACCGGGACUUCGGUCCCGGGGACAGCGGCGAACGGGUGAGUAACACGUGGGUAAUCUGCCCUCGAUUCUGGGAUAGCCCGGGGAAACCCGGAUUAAUACCGGAUAGCCUUUCGAGCCUUCGGGCGCGGAAGAAAAGGUAGCUUCGGCCUCCGAUCGAGGAUGAGCCCGCGGUGGAUUAGCUUGUUGGUGGGGUAAUGGCUCACCAAGGCGACGAUCCAUAGCUGGUCUGAGAGGACGAUCAGCCACACUGGGACUGAGACACGGCCCAGACUCCUACGGGAGGCAGCAGUGGGGAAUCUUGCGCAAUGGGCGAAAGCCUGACGCAGCGACGCCGCGUGGGGGAAGAAGGCCUUAGGGUUGUAAACCUCUUUCAGGUGGGACGAAGCCACUCGGGUUAAUAGCCCAGAGGGUGACGGUACCGCCAGAAGAAGCCCCGGCUAACUACGUGCCAGCAGCCGCGGUA
rnacentral:rRNA from 1 species